rnacentral:rRNA from 1 species
GACGAACGCUGGCGGCGUGCUUAACACAUGCCAGUCGAACGGAAAGGCCCUGCUUUUGUGGGGUGCUCGAGUGGCGAACGGGUGAGUAACACGUGAGUAACCUGCCCUUGACUUUGGGAUAACUUCAGGAAACUGGGGCUAAUACCGGAUAGGAGCUCCUGCUGCAUGGUGGGGGUUGGAAAGUUUCGGCGGUUGGGGAUGGACUCGCGGCUUAUCAGCUUGUUGGUGGGGUAGUGGCUACCAAGGCUUUGACGGGUAGCCGGCCUGAGAGGGUGACCGGCCACAUUGGGACUGAGAUACGGCCCAGACUCCUACGGGAGGCAGCAGUGGGGAAUAUUGCACAAUGGGCGGAAGCCUGAUGCAGCAACGCCGCGUGCGGGAUGACGGCCUUCGGGUUGUAAACCGCUUUCGCCUGUGACGAAGCGUGAGUGACGGUAAUGGGUAAAGAAGCACCGGCUAACUACGUG